rnacentral:rRNA from 1 species
AUGUACGCCAAGACUCAGCGGCUGAUCUUCCGCUGCCGCACGCUCCGCCGCCUGCGCCUGACGAGCUGGACGCUGGACCUGCCGGGGAGCGUGGACAUGGCGUCGCUGGACACGCUCUGCCUCGGGAGGAUCGUCGACGGAGGCGGGAUGCUGCAGCGGCUGCUCUCGAGCUGCCCGCGCCUUGCCAGCCUGACGCUGGAGGAGUGCCAGAGCAUCAAGGAGAUCACGGUGGCCAGCCCCUACCUGCGCAGCUUCGCCAUGAUCUGCUGCCACAAUGCCACGGGCGUCGAGCUGCACACCACCUGCCUGAACUCGCUGCACUACAGAGGCGGCCUCCCUCCUCGCGGGCCGUCCUUUAUCACGGUCCCAAACUUCUUGGCAGUCGCGGCGCUGAGGAUUGGAAUCUGCGAAGACCUCUCCAGCAAAGGACCGUCGGAAGUCGCUCCAGUGACGACGCUCAUCAGCAGGUGCAGACGCCUGAGAUAUCUUGAACUUUCCUUGCACCCAUCAAUGGCCUACUACAGCAGCCUGCUCACAAGCGUCUUGCGCGGACUAGACAACCUCACAGAGCUGAGCCUCCAGGGCAGAUUACCCACUGAUCAUGCUGUCCGGUCUGUCGCCGCCUUGCUUCUCAACGCCAAGAACCUGCAAGUGCUGUCGCUGUUCCUUCUGGGUCCAUAUGAUCGGAUGGCAUACGAUUUGUCUGAUGCUGAAUCAGAGACUGAUCUGUCGGACACCAAUUCAGAUGGCGAAUAUGGUACCUAUCCAGAUGGCGAAAUAGAUGCCGUUCCAGAUGGCAAAACAGAUGCCGAUAUGGAUGACGAAACAUAUACCGAUCAAGAUGCUGAUCCAGAUGCUGAAACAGAGACCGAGUCAGGUGGCGAAUCAGAGAUCGAGCCAGAUAACGAGGCAGAUGGUGAACCAGAGACUGAGCCAGAUGGCGAACGAGAUAUGGAGCCCAAGGACAAUGCCAUCAACAAUGGCGUCAAGGAUAGUACCGGGAUACCCCCCAGUCUGUGGCAUAUGGACGUCAGGUGCUUGGAUCGCAGUCUGAGAAGAAUCAAUAUUGCCAACUACAGAGGACUGCCUCUCGAAAAGAUGCUUGCGAAGUUUCUGCUUUCCAAGGCUGCAGUGUUGGAGGAAUUCUCAGUUACGUUAGCAGCUUGGCUUGAACCACGGGAGGAUAAUAAACUAGCAAAGGAGCUAACAUCCUGGCUAUGUGUAGGCCGUACCAGAGUAACUUGUAUCUAUUCAAAGAAAAAAAAAGGAGUAACUUUUAACUAG